AUUUGUUAUCUAAAUGAUAACUAGUAUGAAUGGUCUGACGAGAAAAUAACUUUCUAAAAAGAAAAAAAAUUAAAUUAAUUUAAAAGUAAAAAAGCUUUUAAGCUUUAGAAAGACGAGAAGACCCUAGAACCUGUUCUAUUUCCUAUAGUUUGUUGGGGUGACAUUAUUCAAAACAAAUAACUAUUAAAACUUAUUAAUUGACUCUAUCCAUCUUUAUUAAAAAAAAAAAAGGUACUCUAGGGAUAACAGCAUAAUCUUCUUCUAAAGCCCUAAUCGACAAAAAAAAUUUUGACCUCGAUGUUGAAUUGAUAUUUCUUUCUAAAGCAAAAUUUUUUAA
rnacentral:rRNA from 1 species